rnacentral:rRNA from 1 species
GCCUAGCCAUAACACGCAAUUAAACUACCAAUUGCCCGCCAAACAACUACGAGUUAAACUUAAAACUUAAAAGACUUGACGGUACUUCACUACGCCCUAGAGGAGCCUGUCCAAUAACCGACGAUCCACGAUUAACCCAACCCCCCCUCGCCCACAGUCUAUAUACCGCCGUCGCCAGCCUACCUUGUAAGAGAAAUGAAGUAGGCCAAACAGUACCCACACUAAAACGACAGGUCGAGGUGUAACUUAUGGGGGGGACCAAGAUGAGCUACACUCUCACGCCGAGAAUACAGAAAAUACUACGAAAUUAGUCUUUAAAGGUGGAUUUAGCAGUAAGCUAGGAAUAAAACACCCAACUGAACACAACGCAAUGAAGUGCGUACACACCGCCCG